rnacentral:lncRNA from 1 species
AAAAAGCUCAUGUGACAGUAGCCACCUUUUGUGGAUGAGUGAAAUUGAAUGUAGAUAUUAGUUAUAAAGGAAUCCAAGUUCUGCUGGAGGAAACUAUGAGAACAGUAAUAGAAUUGUGAAAUUUACUGUUCCAUGUGUUCCUUAUACUGCCAAUGAAGCAAAAUUUAGAGCAACGACAAAAGGAGUUGAGUAUAUUCAACCACAUUUUUAUGAGAUUUGGUUAGAAGGGGAUUCAACAAAUAUUAUCAAUUGGUGUAUGGUAAGCUCAAAGUUCCUGGAGCUUGAGGCAUGGAC